CCUACGGGGGACUGCAGUCGAGAAUCAUUCACAAUGGGGGAAACCCUGAUGGUGCGACGCCGCGUGGGGGAAUGAAGGUCUUCGGAUUGUAAACCCCUGUCAUGGGGGAGCAAAUUAAAAAGAUAGUACCACAAGAGGAAGAGACGGCUAACUGUGCGCCAGCAGCCGCGGUAAUACAGAGAUGUCCAGCGUUGUUCGGAAUCGCUGGGCGUAAAGCGUGCGUAGGCUGUUUUGUAAAUCGUGUGUUAAAUGCGCGGGCCAAACCCGCGGACCGCACCUGAUACUGCGAGACUAGAGUAAGGUAGAGGGAACCGGAAUUCCCGGUGUAGCAGUGAAAUGCGUAGAUAUCGAGAGGAACACUCAUGGCGAAGGCAGGUUCCUGGACAUUAACUGACGCUGAGGCACGAAGGCCAGGGGAGCGAAAGGGAUUAGAUACCCGAGUAGUC
rnacentral:rRNA from 1 species